UACGUAGGGUGCGAGCGUUGUCCGGAAUUAUUGGGCGUAAAGAGCUCGUAGGCGGUGUGUCACGUCGGCCGUGAAAACCUGCAGCUUAACUGUGGGCGUGCGGUCGAUACGGGCAUCACUGGAGUUCGGCAGGGGAGACUGGAAUUCCUGGUGUAGCGGUGAAAUGCGCAGAUAUCAGGAGGAACACCGGUGGCGAAGGCGGGUCUCUGGGCAACAACUGACGCUGAGGAGCGAAAGCGUGGGGAGCGAACAGG
rnacentral:rRNA from 1 species